CUUGUGGUCUCUCUCUGUCUCUCUGUCUCUCUCUCUGUCUCUCUCUGUGUCUGUGUUGAUCAGAGCUCAAGUCGGGGUGGUUUUAGCGGCUGGUUCAAACACAAACCCAAAGAAGGAGCAAAGUGAGGCGUCUCAGGAUGCAGACUCAGCUGACCCAGUUCCACUAUGGAGACGCCUCCCACUUCCCUAUUUUCUUUCCCUUCCACUACCAACAUCCCUGCAACCAAUUUUCCUACCCAGCCUGCAUCUACUGGUAUCAACGCCUUUUCUCGGAAAGCGGGUGAAUAACAGGCCGGAAUGCAUUGGACAACACAUAGACUAAAGUUUUUAUGUUUUUCUGCAACCACCCACCAUACAUCAUACACCUGUACACAUACACAAAUCAUUAAUGAUAAUAAAAUAUUUGUGGUGACAAUUGAUAUUGAUAUUUAAUGGAUUACUGCAUGUUGGAACUGCAGAAAUGCAUUAAUAAUGUGCAGAACAGUGUCCAAUACUGUCCAGAGUUGUGGACAGGAGGCUGCAAAGCUCACUUAUCACUGUAUCUAAUUCUCCCGGAAGCGAAUUUGGGCUGGUUUUCUAUUUCUCUUUCACCUACACUUUGAUGAAGGCUCUAUGCUGAAACAUGUUGGGGACUUUACAUUUUUUGAACUGCUCUAUGCCCUGUAGAUAAAGGCUUUUAAAAUGUAAAACCCAUCUGGAGUGCCUGGAACUUAGACUCGUCAAACAAUUUUACACUCUUUUGUUGGAUUUUUCCUGUUUUUCAGAUUUUUAAUUCCCCACUCCAGAGCGAUGGUGGAUGUUUUUGUGGGAUACUUGUAGUGCUCCCGAUAUAUUGUUUCCUGUCGGGCUGCUCUUGAACCAGACAUAUUCAUGCUGAAUGACAACUGUAUGCUUGUCUUGGCUAACAUGAAGUGAGGAAUUUUGACUGGUGCUUCUUUUGUAAUGAAAUACCCAACAUGCUCUGCCAUAUAGUGAUAGUGCUUCCAUUGAUAGUGUUAGUGCUUCGAGUGUUAGUGCCAUUGAGUGAUUGUCUGAACUUUGGUCUGCUGUAGAAUCCUUUCAGUAGUUUUUAAACAACAGAAUGAGUACAACAGAGAAAUACAAAUGGUUUAUAACAAUG